GACGAACGCUGGCGGCGUGCCUAAUACAUGCAAGUAGAACGCUGAAGAGAGGAGCUUACUCUUCUUGGAUGAGUUGCGAACGGGUGAGUAACGCGUAGGUAACCUGCCUUGUAGCGGGGGAUAACUAUUGGAAACGAUAGCUAAUACCGCAUAACAAUGGAUGACACAUGUCAUUUAUUUGAAAGGGGCAAUUGCUCCACUACAAGAUGGACCUGCGUUGUAUUAGCUAGUAGGUGAGGUAAUGGCUCACCUAGGCGACGAUACAUAGCCGACCUGAGAGGGUGAUCGGCCACACUGGGACUGAGACACGGCCCAGACUCCUACGGGAGGCAGCAGUAGGGAAUCUUCGGCAAUGGGGGCAACCCUGACCGAGCAACGCCGCGUGAGUGAAGAAGGUUUUCGGAUCGUAAAGCUCCGUUGUAAGUCAAGAACGGGUGUGAGAGUGGAAAGUUCACACUGUGACGGUAGCUUACCAGAAAGGGACGGCUAACUACGUG
rnacentral:rRNA from 1 species